GCCGAAGUGGUGGAAUUGGCAGACGCGCCGGACUCAAAAUCCGGUGAUGGUGACAUCGUGCGGGUUCAAGUCCCGCCUUCGGCACCA
rnacentral:tRNA from 1 species